rnacentral:rRNA from 1 species
AAUAUAGCAUGUAGCGGUGAAAUGCAUAGAUAUGCUAUAGAACACCAAUUGCGAAGGCAGCUUGCUAAACUAUAACUGACGCUGAGGCACGAAAGCGUGGGGAGCGAACAGGAUUAGAUACCCUGGUAGUCCACGCCGUAAACUAUGAACACUCGCUGUUGGCAAUACACAGUCAGCGGCUGAGCGAAAGCGUUAAGUGUUCCACCUGGGAAGUACGAUCGCAAGGUUGAAACUCAAAGGAAUUGACGGGGGCCCGCACAAGCGGAGGAGCAUGUGGUUUAAUUCGAUGAUACGCGAGGAACCUUACCUGGGCUUAAAUGUAUAUUGACGUACUGAGAAAUCAGUAUUUCUUCGGACAAUUUACAAGGUGCUGCAUGGUUGUCGUCAGCUCGUGCCGUGAGGUGUCGGGUUAAGUCCCAUAACGAGCGCAACCCCUACUUCUAGUUACCAGCAUUUCGGAUGGGGACUCUAGAGGAACUGCCUACGCAAGUAGAGAGGAAGGUGGGGAUGACGUCAAAUCAGCACGGCCCUUAUGUCCAGGGCUAUACACGUGCUACAAUGGCCGGUACAGAGGGCAGCUACAUAGCAAUAUGAUGCUAAUCUCAAAAGCCGGUCUCAGUCCGGAUUGGAGUCUGCAACUCGACUCCAUGAAGCUGGAUUCGCUAGUAAUCGCACAUCAGCAAUGGUGCGGUGAAUACGUUCCCGGGCCUUGUACACACCGCCCGUCAAGCCAUGG